GGUAUGCGCCGCCUACGAAGGACUCGAAGAGAUCGGCUUGGAUGUUGGUCGAAGCUUGCAGCGUGAUCGCCUGGGCGGGAUGCAUGCGCAGCCUCUCCGGCAGACGGUACUGCACGGAGAUGGAUGCAAGCGUAGGGUUCCCAACGACAAGGGCCCUUAUUUUCGUCGAAGGGCCAACACGCAGGCAAGGGAAGACAUCUCUUAAAAGCCCCG
rnacentral:misc_RNA from 1 species